GCGGCAAUAGUUCAGUGGCAGAACCCCCGCUUUGCAUGCGGGGAGACCUGGGUUCGGUUCCUAGUUGCUUCC
rnacentral:tRNA from 1 species